UUUUAAGAGUGAAAAACUGACGGGAGAAGAGAAGAAAAGGGGAGGAAGAAUAAUAGAAAAGAGGGAAAGAUAAGGGAAGGAAAAGAAAGUUGGAGAAAAUAAGUUUAAAGGUUCUCCUAACGAUCCUCAAUAGGAUUUUCGGGUCUUUCGUCUGACAUUCUUUUUAGUUAUAUAUUUCCGGGUUCUUAGUUUCCGAUAGUAGGUGAACUUUGUUGAGUGUUUCUGCUUCUUCAGUUUUGGGUUAGUAUGCCUUGCUUAUCUUUCAAAGCUGUUUGAUUCGAUGUCUUAGGCGCUCCACUAUUACCUUGUUUUAAUUAAGUUUGGAUUUUGACAAUGUAAUGAGUAUUAUGGAUUAUUGUUUUUGUUUUAAUUACUAAUGAGGAGUUUUAAACUA